CAUAAACUCAAAACCCUAACCCAGUUCAGUUCACUGAGCUCCAUCAAUGGCGUCCCAGAUGGCCAUUCUAGGACGGGCCCGAAGCCUGUUCAAAACCCCAAACCAAACCUUCAAGACCAUCACCACCUUCACAUUUCUCUGCCAGGAGCCCCAACUCGCCGAGCCAACCGGCACAGAGGCAACGCCACUCCCUCCGAACCCUGCCACGGGAAGCCCUCUCUACAACGAGAACUGGCGCAGCCCGAUUCCCGCCAGCUCGACCUUGACUCAGUCCGUCGUCCCAUUGGAGUUCCUCCGGCAGUCGCCGAGCUCACGCAUCCAAGCCUUGUCGCAAACACUAGACGUCCAGAGCCUCAUGAACGUGUUCGCCGAUUGGAUGACGUCGCAGAGAUGGGCCGACAUGAAACAGCUCUUCGAGUUUUGGAUUCGGUCUCUGGACAAGAAUGGGAAGCCCAACAAGCCCGACGUGAACAUGUAUAACCAUUACCUGAGAGCCAAUUUGAUGAUCGGAGCAUCGGCCGGAGAGUUGCUGGAUCUGGUUGCUCAUAUGGAGGACUAUGCCAUCAAUCCCAAUACGGCGUCCUACAAUCUGGUGCUCAAGGCCAUGUACCAGGCAAAUGAAACUGAGGCCGCCCAGAAAUUGAUCGAAAGGAUGCUGCAAACGGGGAAAGAAUCUUUACCUGAUAAUGAGUCAUAUGACUUGAUCCUUGGCAUGCUUUUAGAAAGAGACCAGAUUGAGGCUGCAUUGAAAUAUAUAGAUUUGACAUUAAAAUCUGGUAAUACAUUGUCACUGAAGGUUUUUGGUGAGUUUGUGCGAGGUUGUGUCAAUAAGGGCAGGCUGGAUACAUUGGUGUCAGUUAUUGAACGGUGCAAGUCAAUGGAACAGAACAAAGCUCUCUGUCCGCCUUGGAACAUGUGCAAGACCAUUGCCGAAAUUGCUGUACAAGAGGAUGAUAGCAAGUUGGCAUAUCAUGCCCUGGAGUUCAUGGCUAAAUGGAUUGCUAGAUGUGAACAAGCAAGGCCCCCUGUCUUGCUUUCUGUAGAUGAAGGUUUACUUGUAUCAGCACUUGGAGCUGCUGGUAGAACCUACAGUUUAACUCUCCUGGAUGCAUCUUGGGCAAUCCUACGACGCUCCUUGCGUCAAAAGAAAGCCCCUAAUCCCGAAUCUUACCUUGGAAAGAUAUAUGCCCUUGCAUCAAUGGGGCAUCUGCAGAGAGCUUUUGGUACUUUACGUGAAUUUGAGUCCACUUACGAAAAUUCCAAUAAAGAAGUAGAAGAGGAGCUAUUCUCUCCAUUUACCUCUUUAUAUCCAUUGGUUGUGGCAUGCUCCAAGAAGGGUUUUGAGACUUUGGACUCUGUGUAUUUUCAACUGGAAAAUUUGAGCCGUGCAGAUCCUCCUUACAAGUCUGUUGCUGCUUUAAACUGCAUAAUAUUAGGUUGUGCAAAUAUCUGGGACCUUGAUCGUGCAUACCAAACCUUUGAUGCAAUUGGUACCUCUUUCGAAUUAACCCCUGAUAUUCAUUCUUAUAAUGCCCUGAUGUAUGCAUUUGGGAAGCUCAAGAAGACAUUUGAAGCUUCAAGAGUGUUUGAGCACUUAUUAGGUUUGGGUGUCAAACCCAAUGCAAUGUCAUAUUCAUUGCUCGUAGAUGCUCAUCUUAUCAACCGAGAUCCAAAAGCCGCCCUUUCUGCCAUUGAUGACAUGGUAAAUGCUGGUUUUGAACCAUCAAAAGAAACACUGAAGAAGGUCAGAAGGCGAUGUAUUAGAGAGAUGGACUAUGAGAGCAAUGACCGUGUGGAUGACCUAGCUAAAAAGUUUAAGUUUCGAAUGGGCUUAGACAUUCGCAGGGACAUGCUUUUUAAACUUGAUUACAGCACCGAAUAUGCCCGAUAGGUAAAUUUUAAGGCAGGGUAGGAAGCAGCAACAUCAAAGUGACUAAGAGAAAAUUUUAUUGUUGCUUAGAUCCUGUAUUUUUGGAUGAAAGGUUUGCUUUUUCUUUGGCGUGGAAAGUGCCUCUGCUCAUGAUUUAGUUCACAAUAUUAGCAACUGUCUAACUUUAUUUUUCCAGUGAGUUUCUUCCUUGUUUGUAAAUUAUCUGAUUGUACUCAUUUUUGGAAGUUGGCAGGAUGAAUGCUAGGAUCAUAGCCGCUCUUAUUUUC